rnacentral:miRNA from 1 species
AGAAUGUAAGCAUUGCCUCUUCCCUGGUGGAUGGACAGCAGAGAAGAGAGCGGAGGGAGACGUCGGACAGUG